GAUGAACGCUGGCGGCGUGCCUAAUACAUGCAAGUCGAGCGAACAGAUGAGGAGCUUGCUCCUCUGACGUUAGCGGCGGACGGGUGAGUAACACGUGGAUAACCUACCUAUAAGACUGGGAUAACUUCGGGAAACCGGAGCUAAUACCGGAUAAUAUAUUGAACCGCAUGGUUCAAUAGUGAAAGACGGUUUUGCUGUCACUUAUAGAUGGAUCCGCGCCGCAUUAGCUAGUUGGUAAGGUAACGGCUUACCAAGGCGACGAUGCGUAGCCGACCUGAGAGGGUGAUCGGCCACACUGGAACUGAGACACGGUCCAGACUCCUACGGGAGGCAGCAGUAGGGAAUCUUCCGCAAUGGGCGAAAGCCUGAUGGAGCAACGCCGCGUGAGUGAUGAAGGUCUUCGGAUCGUAAAACUCUGUUAUUAGGGAAGAACAAAUGUGUAAGUAACUAUGCACGUCUUGACGGUACCUAAUCAGAAAGCCACGGCUAACUACGUG
rnacentral:rRNA from 1 species